AAAUAGUUUCCAUGUGAGAAUCAAUCUUCUCGCUCGUCCCUGCGGAUAGAAGAAUCUCUGCUCUCUGGAGGAGAGAAGGUUAAAGAAAAAAAAUGUCUAAAGAAGGAUAUACCAGGAAACCAGAUAAAUUAUGCAGUUCAAACAUGUUCGAAGUUGACGAAAAAGAGAUCCACGUAUUCGGAAAUGAAUGGCGCGUUCGAAUUGUGAGUGUGACUGCGUCGAGGACAAAAUGAAAGACGCUUCCGUGAUAAUUUCCGAUCGUGACGUUUCGCAUCGUCAAAACUGCGAUAGCGUACUUUAUUAUCGUGGAAUCAACACGGGUCACCCGGUUGAAAAUUCUCCAACAUAUGUGUCCAGAGAAAAAAGAGAUAAGCGAAAAUAUAUAGCAAUGGAAAAUUCGAACAAGAGACGAAUCAGUAUCAUGGAACGUUGCAGAAUUUUGACUUUAAUACAUCGAAUAAAAAAUUCUGCUUUACACAUAGAGGAAUUUCCAUGAGAAUAGCAGUUGAUCACUCCUGAUUUAAACAAUGAAUAUAUUUAAAUAUUAUGAUAACCAAUAGUUCAAGAAUCCAACAUGAUCAUCAGUCAUUUAAGGUCCAAACUCGCCGUUUGGAACAAGUAUGACUAAUAAUGACCAGUAAAACCGGAAACUGAAGCAACGAGAAAAACGGAACGCAUAGCGCAGCCUCAUUAAAAGCGUCAAGUAGAAACUAUUCUCUGCAACAGGAAAUUAACGAGGAACGAUAAGAACAAUCGUUUUGCUGUCAUAUAGCAGACGAUAAAAAAAAGGGAAGGAGGCGAAGAUAAAAAGGGGAGCAUAAACGUCGCAUUCAUGCGAUCGAUAGGCUUCGAUGCCACGUUCCAUUCUGCAUGUACUUUGUUUUCGUAAUGAAUUAUUUAAAGGGUUGCGGUACUUCGCGGCAACUUUGAAAAAGGAAGGACACGCGUGCUCAGAGAGAGCGAGAGAGAGAGAGAGAGAAUGAUUGAAAAAAGUGAGAAAAAAAAAAGAAAGAAUAAUGGAAAACGACGAAAAUUCUGAAUAAUACAUGAGAAAACCGAGAGUAUUUUGAUCCUUAUGCAGGUGAUGGGGUCGUGGGCGGAUCAAAGAUGGAUUUUUACGAUACACCCGAACGAAGAAGCAAACGGAAAUAAAACAGCGGUCAGGAACGAUAUACACGUUUUAAGAGGAGGUGGAAACAUGUAUACUUUCGAACAGUGCCUUCCUUUUAGUCGAAGGUUUUACGAUGACGUUUAUUCGCGGCGCUCGUCUCGCGAAACGGGGGUUAAAAAUAACCUCGUAAGACGUGAAACCUUGGUGAUAACAUUUUUACGAUUUUCACAAUUUCCGAGUUGGGAAAGAGAUGGCAUCCAACGUGACCAAGGGG
rnacentral:lncRNA from 1 species